CACGUAGGGUGCGAGCGUUGUCCGGAAUUAUUGGGCGUAAAGAGCUCGUAGGCGGUGUGUCGCGUCGGCCGUGAAAACCUGCAGCUUAACUGUGGGCGUGCGGUCGAUACGGGCAUCACUGGAGUUCGGCAGGGGAGACUGGAAUUCCUGGUGUAGCGGUGAAAUGCGUAGAUAUCGAGAGGAACACCUGCGGCGAAGGCGGGUUGCUGGGCUGACACUGACGCUGAGGCGCGAAAGCUAGGGGAGCGAACGGG
rnacentral:rRNA from 1 species